rnacentral:rRNA from 1 species
GUCUUGUACACACCGCCCGUCACACCACGAGAGUUUACAACACCCGAAGUCGGUGAGGUAACCGCAAGGAGCCAGCCGCCGAAGGUGGGGUAGAUGAUUGGGGUGAAGUCGUAACAAGGUAGCCGUAUCGGAAGGUGCGGCUGGAUCACCUCCUUUCUAUGGAGAAUCGUCUUCUGCAACGAAGACAUUCAAAAAAAGGCUGACGAAAGUCGCCGAUCCCUUUGCGGAUGCAAAGGGGGAUAUGCUUUCGAAGUAGCUUUACUUCGUAAAGCUUUUAGCUCACUCGUUGGUCAGUUUUGAGAGUUCAACUCUCAAAACCCUCGUUACUUUUAGUCAACACGAUUCGUGAACGACCCGAAAGUAAUCGAGAUUGAUCCUUGAAAACUGGAUAACGAAACGAAAUUUGCGUUUUAGAAAUAUUCCUUUUCUGAUGAAUUUAAAUGNUACAGUACCGAAGGUCAUGAUCUCACACUGCCAAGAAAAGCCUCUAGCCAGGAGAAGGUGCCCGUACCGCAAACCGACACAGGUAGGCGAGAAGAGAAUUCUAAGGCGCGCGGAAGAACUCUCGUUAAGGAACUCGGCAAAAUGACCCCGUAACUUUGGGAGAAGGGGUGCCCCGGUAGUGUGAAUAGCACGAGGGGGCCGCAGUGAAAAGGCCCAAGCGACUGUUUAGCAAAAACACAGGUCUGUGCGAAGCCGUAAGGCGAAGUAUACGGGCUGACGCCUGCCCGGUGCUGGAAGGUUAAGGGGAGCGGUUAGGGAGUAAUCCCGAAGCUGUGAACCGAAGCCCCAGUAAACGGCGGCCGUAACUAUAACGGUCCUAAGGUAGCGAAAUUCCUUGUCAGGUAAAUUCUGACCCGCACGAAUGGCGUAACGACUUGGGCGCUGUCUCAACGAGAGAUCCGGUGAAAUUUUAAUACCUGUGAAGAUGCAGGUUACCCGCGACAAGACGGAAAGACCCCAUGGAGCUUUACUACAGCUUGAUAUUGAACUUUGAUGCGAUUUGUACAGGAUAGGUGGGAGCCUAGGAAUCCGGAGCGCCAGCUUCGGUGGAGGCAUCGUUGGGAUACCACCCUGAUCGUAUCGAAGUUCUAACCUAGGACCGUGACCCGGUUCGGGGACAGUGUCAGGCGGGUAGUUUGACUGGGGCGGUCGCCUCCUAAAGAGUAACGGAGGCGCCCCAAGGUUCCCUCAGAAUGGUUGGAAAUCAUUCGUAGAGUGCAAAGGCAAAAGGGAGCUUGACUGCGAGACUGACAAGUCGAGCAGGGACGAAAGUCGGGCUUAGUGAUCCGGUGGUACCGCAUGGAAGGGCCAUCGCUCAACGGAUAAAAGCUACCCUGGGGAUAACAGGCUUAUCUCCCCCAAGAGUCCACAUCGACGGGGAGGUUUGGCACCUCGAUGUCGGCUCAUCGCAUCCUGGGGCUGAAGUAGGUCCCAAGGGUUGGGCUGUUCGCCCAUUAAAGCGGUACGCGAGCUGGGUUCAGAACGUCGUGAGACAGUUCGGUCCCUAUCUGUCGUGGGCGUAGGAAAUUUGAGAGGAGCUGUCCUUAGUACGAGAGGACCGGGAUGGACGCACCGCUGGUGCACCAGUUGUUCCGCCAGGAGCAUAGCUGGGUAGCUACGUGCGGAUGGGAUAAACGCUGAAAGCAUCUAAGCGUGAAGCCCUCCUCAAGAUGAGAUUUCCCAAUUUAGUAAGACCCCUUGAAGACGACGAGGUUGAUAGGCCUGAGGUGGAAGUGCAGCAAUGUAUGGAGCUGACAGGUACUAAUCGGUCGAGGGCUUAUCCAA